rnacentral:snoRNA from 1 species
CCAGCAUGGGUAUUUCGGGAGGUCACUCUCCCCAAGCUCUGUCCGGGUGACUUAGUGAGCAUAGGGCUCUGCCCCCUGAGGCACACUCCCUUUGCACAAUGUGAAUCACAUCCCCACCAUAUACUCCUCAUCAUUAAAAAU